ACGAACGAUUCAACGGCAUAAUUUGCCGGAAAACAAAAUUACCACAAUGCUUCUUUCUCUUUUCCUUCUCUGAGAUCUGAUCUUUCUUUCUCAAUUACCUCAAAUUUCUCCAUUUUCAAUGGCGUAUUGAAGAAGAAGAAAAAAGAAAGAGGAAUCACAAGAAGAAGAAGAAGUGUUCUUGGCAUUGGCGGAGGGGUUGUGUUUUGAUUGGGAGGUCGGUCCUCAGGUGAAAGAUCUGAGGUUUUUUUCCCUUUAUUUAUUGUUUUUGAAAGAAAUCAGCAAUCAAUAAAUAAACAAAAUUAAAAAGAAAUGAGCGCUUCGAGGUUUAU
rnacentral:misc_RNA from 1 species